CACAAACCAACAUUGUAAACGGGGAGGGGGGAAAUUGGUAGAUUUUUGAAAAGUCUACGAAUUAAUUUCCAUGAUUGUCUAUAAAAAUACGGCACUUAGUCAUUUUCGACCCGAAACAAAGGUUACUAUAUUAUAAUACCUGAUUCUCUUUUUGACUGAAAUUACUUUAUUUACCAUGUGCAAGGUUGUUGUGUAAUUUUUUUUUGAGGGGGGGCAUCAGGGGGGUGUGGGCAAACUGUUUAGCGACGGGAUACCUCAAAGCAUUUAAUUUUGACCGUUUCAAUAUGUUAAGUAAGUUAUGACAUAAAGUUUG
rnacentral:lncRNA from 1 species